CCCCAACCCUUAUAAUGGGGGGGGGGGGGGGGGUCUAUAGGAUCCACAGGAGCUGCUCCUUCCCCUAUAGGGUUUGUGGGGGCUGCUGUAUACCGACGGCUCCAAUUUUGGGGGGGGUGGGGGGGGAAUAAGAGCCGCCGGCCGUAGGUUUGCCCCCUCCUCACUCUGGGGCCCGACCCCGGGGGGGAGGAACGCAUGGGGCAGCGCUGCCUCGAGAGGGGCCGGGCCCUAUAGCAUACCCUAUAGGAUCUAUUCCCACCCCCCCCCCAUAGAUCCCUCCAGGCAUCCCCACCCAAUACCCCCCAGACCCCUAUAUAACCCCCCCAGAUAAACGUAUUUCCCCCUAUACCCCAUUAAUACCCCUCCAGAUGCCCCAAAUAACCACAUUUCCCCCUAUACCCCAUAUGUACCCCUCCAGAUGCCCCCAAAUAACCACAUUUCCCCCUAUACCCCAUAUGUACCCCUCCAAAUAACCAUAUUUCUCCCUAUACCCCAUAAGUACCCCCCUCCAGAUGCCCCCAAAUAACCACAUUUCCCCCUAUACCCCAUAAAUACCCCUCCAGAUGCCCCCAAAUAACCACAUUUCCCCCUAUACCCCAUAAAUACCCCUCCAGAUGCCCCCAAAUAACCACAUUUCCCCCUAUACCCCAUAAAUACCCCUCCAGAUGCCCCCAAAUAACCACAUUUCCCCCUAUACCCCAUAAGUACCCCCCUCCAGAUGCCCCCAAAUAACUGUAUUUCCCCCUAUACCCCAUAAAUACUCCUCCAAAUGACCCCAAAUAAUCACAUUUCCCCCUAUACCCCAUAAAUACCCCUCAAAAUAACCACAUUUCCCCCUAUACCCCAUAAAUACCCCUCCAGUUGCCCCGAAAUAACCACAUUUCCCCCUAUACCCCAUAAAUACCCCUCCAGAUGCCCCCAAAUAACCACAUUUCCCCCUAUACCCCAUAAGUACCCCCCUCACCCCCUCCCAGACCCCCCUACAGAUCCCCUCAUAUAUCCCCAUACCCCCCCCAGACACCCCCACUGCCCCCCUACAGACCCUCCCAGGACACCCCUAUAACCCCCCCCCCCCCAUCCCCUAUAGAUCCUCUAUAGAGACCUUUUACAGAUCCCCCACAGACCCUCCCUACCAACUCCCCAACCCCUAUAUAUCCCCUAUAGAUCCCCCAUUGACCCCUCCAGACACAGAUAUACCCCAAUCCCCCCCAACCCCUAUAGAUCCCCCAUAGACCCCUCCAGACACAGAUAUACCCCAAUCCCCCCCAACCCCUAUAGAUCCCCCAAUAGACCCCUCCGGACACAGAUAUACCCCCAAUCCCCCCCCCCAUAACCCCCAUAUAUCCCCUAUAUACCCUCCCAUCCCCUACAGAUCCCCCAUAGACCCCUCCGGACACAGAUAUACCCCCAAUCCCCCCCCCCAAACCCUAUAGAUCCCCCAUAGACCCCUCCAGACACAGAUAUACCCCAAUCCCCCCCCCCCCCCCCGACCCCUAUAUAUCCCGUAUAGAUCCCCCAUAGACCCCUCCGGACACAGAGAGACCCCCAAUCCCCCCCCAAGCCCUAUAUAUCCCCUAUAGAUCCACCAUAGACCCCUCCGGACACAGAUAUACCCCCAAUCCCCCCCCCCAUAACCCACAUAUAUCCCCUAUAUACCCUCCCAUCCCCUACAGAUCCCCCAUAGACCCCUCCGGACACAGAGAGACCCCCAAUCCCCCCCCAAGCCCUAUAUAUCCCCUAUAGAUCCCCCAUAGACCCCUCCGGACACAGAUAUACCCCCAAUCCCCCCCCAUAACCCACAUAUAUCCCCUAUAUACCCUCCCAUCCCCUAUAGAUCCCCCAUAGACCCCUCCAGACACAGAUAUACCCCCAAUCCCCCCCCCCAUAACCCACAUAUAUGCCCUAUAUACCCUCCCAUCCCCUAUAAAUCCCCCAUAGACCCCUCCGGACACAGAUACACCCCCAAUCCCCCCCCCAUGACCCCCAUAUAUCCCCUAUACUCCCUCCGAUCCCCUAUAGAUCCCCCAUAGACCCCUCCCGACACAGAUAUACCCCAACCCCCCCCCCCAACCCCUAUAUAUCCCCUAUAGAUCCCCCAUAGACCCCUCCAGACACACCGAUAUACCCCCAAUCCCCCCCCCAGACCCCUAUAUACCCCCCAAUCCCCUAUAAAGAAGCCCUACAGACCCCACAUCGGCCCCUCCCCACACCCCCAUACACCCCACCAUCUCCUCCCAUAUAUAACCCCAAUAUCUCCCCAUAUAUUACCCCUAUACCCCCAUAGACCCCCCUAUACACCCCUCGAUCCCCUAUAGAUCCCCUACAGAUCCCAUCCGGAUCCCUCCAGAAACCCCUACAGACCCCCAUAUGCGACCAUAUAUCCCCCGUACCCCGAUCAGCCCCCCAUAUACCCCCCUUCGUCCCCUACAGAUCCCCCCUAUAGCUCCCAUAGGGCCGCCCUUCACCUCCCACCCCGCUCCCAUCAUGGCGCCCACCGCGCGGGGGGCG
ensembl:lncRNA